CCUCCGCUCUCGGCACGUGUCCCCAGUCCCAUCUGGGCCCCGCCACAUGCCUCCUUCCCCGUCCCGGACCCAGCCGGGUCGAGCGCGCCGCUGUCUCCGCCAGGCUGCGGAGGGCCACUGAGCUCCUGCCCCAGCCCCUAGGGUGUCAAAGACCAAAGCCCGACUUUGCCCUGGGGGCUAUGGGGUACGAGUCGGAGGCGUCGACUGCCCCCCUGCUUGGCACACCCUCUUCCACUCUACACCUUCCUCUCCGACAAGCAUUUUCGGGCGUCCGCGUCCUCCGGCCCCUUCAACUUCGCGGAAAGGAAGACUGAGAGGCCAAAGGGAGGCGAACGCUUCUCAGUCGUGAUGGGGAGACUGCGACUUUUCCAAACUAAAGCUUCCAUCUGUAGGGGCAACGGAGCCUGCGGCACCCUCCCCAGGGACACAUCUGAGGUGCUUUACCAAAUGCAUCAUCUGCACUGUAUAUGCAAAAUCCACAUAUGUCCACUUGCCAGGAGCUUCCAUCAAGGCGACAUACAGGAUGGCAAAUUGCUUAUGGUCCAUACUCUGGAAGAUGAAUUGACCAGUGUCACAUGUGGUAGGAGCAAACACGUAAAGUCGGCCAGGCUCUCUGGUCACUGGAAAAGAACAGUGCUGUGUGCUUCAUGGGCUCAGAUGAGAUUGUUUGAUCUAAUGUGCUGAUCCAGAUCACACUGGACAAUGUCACAUUAUCCCGGUGACACGGACAUUAGCUGCUGUUGGCACUUUGUCCCAUGCAAAUGGCCACUUAAGGUGGGAACCCUGCCUGGCUUAAGGCCUGCCAUCUUGACGCUUCUCAGGGAGAUCAUCCAUGGCCUCCUUGUUGCUAACACAGAAGGACAGUUCUCUGACUUCAUUGCACCUGAUGAUGGCAGCGAGAUUCAAAACCACAUCAACAGAUGCGUCAUGUGAUGAAGACCCAGGCCCACAGACACCUAGGGCAGGGGUGCCAUGAAUGGAAAAAGAGGACAGCACAAGGAGGUGCUCUGCUGCAGUGUGUGUGUGGGGGGGGGCAGUGAGGGUCACAGAGGAUAAACUGCCGAGAUGUGCAAACCUCACCCCAGCUCUGGGGCAUUUGUGAAUUAAAUACUGCCUGAGAAU